rnacentral:rRNA from 1 species
UGAAUACGAGACGCUAAGGCGUCGAAGUAGUGUAUGUCAUACUUCCAAGAAAAGCUUGCACUGUCAUAGAUAAAAAACGCCUGUACCAUAACCGACACAGGUGGGCAGGUAGAGUAUACUAAGGGGCGCGAGAUAACUCUCUCUAAGGAACUCGGCAAAAUAACUCCGUAACUUCGGGAGAAGGAGUGCCUUAUUCGUAAGGUUGCAAUAACAAGAUCCAAGCAACUGUUUAUCAAAAACACAGGUCUCCGCUAAGUCGUAAGACGAUGUAUGGGGGCUGACGCCUGCCCAGUGCCAGAAGGUUAAAGAAGUUGGUUAGCAAUUGCGAAGCUGAUAACUGAAGCCCUAGUGAACGGCGGCCGUAACAAUAACGGUCCUAAGGUAGCGAAAUUCCCUGUCGGGUAAGUUCCGACCCGCACGAAAGGCGUAAUGAUUUGGAUACUGUCUCGGAGAGGGGCUCGGUGAAAUAGACUUGUCUGUGAAGAUGCGGACUACCUGCACCAGGACAGAAAGACCCUAUGAAGCUUUACUGUAACUUGAAAUUGAAAUUGGACUUUAUUCGCGCAGUAUAGGUGGGAGGCGUUGAUUAUAAUCUUGUGGGAUUAUUGGAGCCAUCAGUGAGAUACCACUCUUGUAAUGUUAGAUUUCUAACUUUGAAUCAUUAUCUGGUCAAAGAACAGUUUCAGGCGGGCAGUUUGACUGGGGCGGUCGCCUCCUAAACGGUAACGGAGGCGUACAAAGGUUUCCUCUGAACGGUUAGAAAUCGUAUCUAGAGUGUAAAGGCAUAAGGAAGCUUGACUGUGAGACCUACAAGUCGAGCAGGGACGAAAGUCGGUCUUAGUGAUCUGACGGUACUGAGUGGAAAGGCCGUCACUCAACGGAUAAAAGUUACUCUAGGAUAACAGGCUGAUCUCCCCCAAGAGUUCACAUCGACGGGGAGGUUUGGCACCUCGAUGUCGGCUCAUCGCAUCCUGGGGCGGUAGUACGUCCCAAGGGUUGGGCUGUUCGCCCAUGAAAGCGGUACGCGAGCUGGGUUCAGAACGUCGUGAGACAGUUCGGUCCAUAUCCGGUGUAGGCGUUAGAAUAUUGAGAGGAGCCUUCUUUAGUACGAGAGGACCGAGAAGGACAUACCUCUGGUGUACCAGUUAUCGUGCCAACGGUAAACGCUGGGUAGCUAUGUAUGGAGUGGAUAACCGCUGAAAGCAUCUAAGUGGGAAGCCCACCUCAAGAUAAG